rnacentral:rRNA from 1 species
GAACGAACGCUGGCGGCGUGCCUAACACAUGCAAGUCGAGCGAGAAAGCCCGCAAGGGUGAGUAAAGCGGCGCACGGGUGCGUAACACGUGGGUAAUCUGCCCUAGAGUCCGGAAUAACUCGCCGAAAGGCGUGCUAAUGCCGGAUGAGACCACGGGAGCUUCGGCUCCUGCGGGAAAAGGUGGCCUCUGUAUACAAGCUAUCGCUCUAGGAUGAGCCCGCGGCCCAUCAGCUCGUUGGCGGGGUAAUGGCCCACCAAGGCUACGACGGGUAGCUGGUCUGAGAGGACGAUCAGCCACACUGGAACUGAGACACGGUCCAGACUCCUACGGGAGGCAGCAGUGGGGAAUCUUGCGCAAUGGGCGAAAGCCUGACGCAGCAACGCCGCGUGUGUGAUGAAGGUCUUCGGAUCGUAAAGCACUGUCGCGAGGGACGAAUAAGGGGCGGGCUAACAUCCCGUUCCGAUGACGGUACCUCGAGAGGAAGCACCGGCUAACUCUGUGCCAGCAGCCGCGGUAAUACAGAGGGUGCAAGCGUUGUUCGGAAUUAUUGGGCGUAAAGCGCGUGUAGGCGGCCUUGCAAGUUGGGUGUGAAAGCCCUCGGCUUAACCGAGGAAGUGCGCCCAAAACUACGAGGCUUGAGUGCCGGAGAGGGUGGCGGAAUUCCCGGUGUAGAGGUGAAAUUCGUAGAUAUCGGGAGGAACACCAGUGGCGAAGGCGGCCACCUGGACGGUAACUGACGCUGAGACGCGAAAGCGUGGGGAGCAAACAGGAUUAGAUACCCUGGUAGUCCACGCUGUAAACGAUGAGCGCUAGGUGUUGUGGGUGUUGACCCCCGCAGUGCCGCAGCUAACGCAUUAAGCGCUCCGCCUGGGAAGUACGGCCCGCAGGCUAAAACU